rfam:Botryotinia fuckeliana BcDW1 unplaced genomic scaffold Scaffold_281, whole genome shotgun sequence.
GGAAACAUAGUUCAAUAGUAGAAUGCUCAUCUCUCAUUGUGGACGGACUGCAUGUGGAGCACCUCUGAGUGCUCUCGUGGUUCAGACCUACCGUAAGUAUGUGUGAUGGAAGUUCGAGUCUCUCUGUUUCUA